rnacentral:rRNA from 1 species
GCACUGUUCAGUAACACGUGGAUAACCUACCCUCAGGAGGGGGAUAACCCGGGAAACUGGGGAUAAUACCCCAUAGAUCAGGGACGCUGGAAUGCCCCCUGAUUCAAAGGUCCGCCGCCUGAGGAUGGGUCUGCGGCCGAUUAGGUUGUUGUUGGGGUAACGGCCCAACAAGCCAUUGAUCGGUACGGGUUGUGAGAGCAAGAGCCCGGAGAUGGAUUCUGAGACACGAAUCCAGGCCCUACGGGGCGCAGCAGGCGCGAAAACUUUACAAUGCGAGAAAUCGUGAUAAGGGAACCCCGAGUGCCCGUAAAUUCGGGCUGUCCGCCAGUGUAAAUAACUGGUGAAGAAAGGGCCGGGCAAGACCGGUGCCAGCCGCCGCGGUAAUACCGGCGGCUCGAGUGGUGGCCACUAUUACUGGGCUUAAAGCGUCCGUAGCUGGAUUGUUAAGUCUCUUGGGAAAUCCACCGGCUCAACCGAUGGGCGUCCAGGAGAAACUGGCAAUCUAGGGACCGGGAGAGGUGAGAGGUACUCCA